UAGGGUCGAAGUACGUCUAGGCUGUCAUAAGCUCAAGACGCCCCUAAGACCCCUUUCAAGAUAACCCUAGCAUUACCGAUCAAUUUAACUCCACGAAAGCCUGGACACAAACUGGGAUUAGAUACCCCACUAUGCCCGGCCCUAAAUCUUGAUGCUUGUCACACUAGAGCAUCCGCCUGAGAACUACGAGCACAAACGCUUAAAACUCUAAGGACUUGGCGGUGUCCCAAACCCACCUAGAGGAGCCUGUUCUAUGAUCGAUAACCCACGAUACACCCGACCACCCCUCGCCCAAAGCAGCCUAUAUACCGCCGUCGCCAGCUCACCUUUCCUGAAAGCACAGCAGUGAGCAUAACAGCCAAACCCGCUAACAAGACAGGUCAAGGUAUAGCCUAUGGGGUGGAAGAGAUGGGCUACAUUCUCUAAAGUAGAGGACUUACGGAAGGGGGCGUGAAACCGCCCCCGGAAGGCGGAUUUAGCAGUAAACUGGGACAAUAGAGCCCUCUUUAAGUCGGCCCUGGGACACGUACAUACCGCCCGUCACCCUCC
rnacentral:rRNA from 1 species